CAGAACAAAACGGCAAAAGCGCAGGCCAUCAGAUGGAUGCUCGAAAUGUAUGAAAGACCACGGGAAGUUCUUUGUUCGUUUCAGUUAGGGCAAUGGAAGAAGAAGAAGACCAUUUAGCAUUGCCAUCUUCGUCGGCUUGAUAAUUUACUUUUCAGAUCUCACGGUGAAGAAUAUAUCAGCUACUGAUCCUGGUAAAACCUAAAGCUAAGCUCUUUCCCGGUGUAGCCUGCAAUGUUUGGUUUUUUCCGUUCAAGGUUACAAUUAAAUAAUAUUUUUCCUCUUUUUGUUUCAAAUGCUCAACUGGGUGUUCUUCCUUUUCAGUCAAUAUUCGUAAUCAGAUCCUUUUCAUCUAUCAAAUCUUCUAAUUUGAAUGAUCGCUCAUUUACAGUUUCUUAUCUCGUAAAUUCAUGUGGAUUAACCCUAAACUCUGCUCAAACUAUCUCUAAGAGGGUAUGUCUUAAAACCCCUGAAGGACCAGAAUCAGUACUUAGGCUUCUCAGAGAACAUGCCUUCACCAAUUCCCAAAUCUCCAGUGUUGUUAAGAUGAAGCCCAUAGUGCUUUUACUUCAUUCUGAAAGGACUCUUUUGCCCAAACUUGAGUUUCUGUAUUCUAUUGGUGUUUCAAGAGAAGAGCUUCCAAUAAUUGUUUCUAAGAAUCCAGAAUUGUUGUGUAGAAGUAUAGAGCGAUAUCUGUCCCCACAUUAUCAUAUCCUCAAAAGUGUACUUGUUUGUGAUGAAAAAGUGAUUAAGAGUAUGAAACGCUGGUUAAAAGCUUCUAUAGUGCUUUCGAAGAACGACUUUUUUGCCAAUUUAUCACUCUUAAGAGGGCUUCGAAUUCCUCAGUCUUCCAUCUCUGUAUUGGUCAUCUAUCAUCCCAUGAUUAUGUGCCUAAAAGCUUUGCAUUUUGCUGAAGGUGUUAAGAAAAUUAUUAAAACAGGAUUUGAUCCUUCAGAAGUCAAAUUUGUUAAGGCGCUCAAUAUUUUGCUUGGAAUGACGCAGAAAACAUGGGAUCAUAAAAUGGAGGCUUUCAAGAGGUGGGGUUUUUCUGAAGAAGAGAUUUGGUCAAUUUUCAGAAAGAGUCCCUCGGCUAUGGCUAUAUCUGAAACGAAUCUUAUGCGUAAAAUGAAUUUUUUUGUAUGCAAGAUGGGUUGGCAGCCUGCUGCUGUUGGUAGAGUUCCAGUUGUUCUGGCCUAUGGUUUGGAAUCUAGGAUUAUGCCUAGAUGUUCAGUUGUGAGAGUUUUGCUUUUGAAGGGUUUGAUCAAGGAUGAUAUCCCGAUACCCUCGAUCUUGACCAGCUGCGAAAAAAGCUUCUUGCAAAGAUUUGUGAACAAGUAUCAAGAUCAGGUGCCCCAAUUGUUGGAUAUUUUCCAAGGAAAGAUGGGGCUCACAGAACUUGAGUUUGAUUUUGAUGAUAAACCUGCAAUUUUGUAUUAGGAAAUAUGUAGCAUGCAGUGUCAAUCUAGGGAUUUCCAUUUGGUGAUCUUUUAUGAUUUGGUCCCUUAAUGGUGAACUAGCAAAGCUUGUAUGAGUAGCAUUGUUAACUUGUCAUUAUUAUCUUAGAGGAUUACUUUUGAUAGUUUAGUUUAUUACAUUUUCAUUUAAAGGUACUACUUCACAGAACUGAUGAUAUGAGUAGCUUUGAGAACUAAAUUUCACUUUUCAAUCCUGUCUUGGUCCUUGGAUGGCUUUUUUUUGCCCUGAUCGUUCGGUCAAUUACUUCAACUAUUAAGCUUUGAGUGCUUGCUUAUAUUUUGUGUUUUGUAAGAGAAAGAUGAUGGCUGAUUGGCUUCCCUUUCUUCAGAUUCGACCUAAAGAUAAAUUGGGGUGCAUUAAAUUGUUAUCCAAAACUAUGUAGCUUGUUGAAGCUUGCUAAAUUGUGUAGAAAAGAAUCAAGGGUUUAUGCCUAUGGGAAGGGGUAUAAACAGUAGCAAAUAUGUUAAGCAGGAACACUAAGUGGAGUGCUCUAAAGCUAUUAUGUCUUUAUAGAGGAUAUAGAAAGUGUCAUAUGUACUAAGCAGGGAUUGAAAAAAUUGCAUCUUGAUUCUCUUAACCAUGUAGAUUUGCAUUUCUGGCUUACCCUUUUUUUUUUUGUUAAAUGAUAGACGCACACUGACCGUAGCUACUGCAUUAAGUUAAGACCUUGAUGGAUGUGAGAUUUCAAAGGACUGGGUUUUCGAGAUUUCAAAGGACCGGCUCAUGGGGCACGCCCCCGAAGGAAGCUCACUCUAUUUGUCUAGGAAACAGGUGGGGUUGUUCUGCACCUAUGAAUAUAUGAUAUAAAUACGUAGAGUUGAAUGUUAGUUUCACUUUCUUUUUAUAUUAUAGAUCCAUAUGAAUCCUUUUUUCCAGCGAAACGUCAAAUUUUCCUCCAAAUUCUAGGGCAGCCUCCUUACUUGGUAACAACUGGAAGAUGUGCAGCUCCAUUAUACUUGCUUUUCAAAACUUAGACCAAUAGAGCUGUUGGCUUCUCCACCAGCUCCCCACACAAUUUAAUUAUACAAGCACAAUUUAAUGCAUAUGAAUUUUUUUAUAUAUAAUUUAACUAUUUAGUCCUGUAUCACUGAAAUUUUCAUUAUUUAAUUUUUUUUUAAAAAUAUAUAUAUAUUAAAAUGUUUAUAAAUUUUAAAAUAUUUAGUAAUUAAUUUUUUAUUAAUUUUAUUUUAGUUGUUAAAUAAUUAUUCUCUAAUAUUUUAGACUUUUUAUAAUAUUUAAUAGUUAAAAUUAAUAGAUAAAUUAAUUAAUAAACUUUUUAAAAUGUCUAAGUUACUACGAGAAUAAUUGAUUUGUGGCAGUUAAGUGUUCGUAACGACGUUAAUUUUUUAUCCUUUCAUAUAGGCUUUUUUUAUUAUUGUCAAGUAAAAUUCAUCGAGUGUUAGAUUGUUUAUCACCAUUAAAAAUCGUGAGCCAUUUAUAAACUAAAAUCUCAAAACUCAGUACACAUUACAUAACACGUAAAUGUCAUGUUCACAUCUUGCAUCAACAUUCAUUUGACACACUCGAUCAUUAGAAUCAAUUAUCGGAUCAUUUUCUGUUUUAAACUAAUUUUAAAAAUUGAGAAACUAAUUCACGAAUUGAGUGAUGACUGAGCGCGAAUAUGCAACAUUAAUCAAUUGACACUUGAAGUUCGUGAACACUUUCGGUGCAGUCAAGUCUUGCUUCGACUAUGAUGCGAGCGCACCUAUUGGCCUCUCUACACCCUUAAUGAAAGAUCAGUUUCCAAUCUAAAUUACGCACAUAGCAAUAGGCAUAAAUAUGGACAGCAGGUUAUUGAGGGUAAGAGAGUCGCCUGAUCUUCUUGUUUUCUCCCAAUUUAAAGCAUUUAAAUUUUAAAAUUCUAACAACCUAAUAGCUGUGAUUAUGCAAGCGAGAGAGAUAAUAUUUAGACCAACUCAUAAGAUAUUACUUGGCUUUAUCAAUGAUAUAGCUACAAAUAUCUUGUAAAUCGCUCAAAUGUAAAAGAGGAACUACAAGGAAUCUACCAACAUCAUUUGUCUACAUGACUUCAAGCCAUCUACUUAAAUUCUUCAUAAUUGAGCAGCUACAUCAUUAAAGAAGAGAAAAAUAUUAGAAAAAAAGUGAUCCUACAACACAUUAAAGAGAGAAAAUAAUAAUUAAUAUUAAUAUAAUAACUAUAUUUCAACUAAUAAAAUAAAUAUUAUUAAAAAGUGACUUAAAAAAUGAUUGUUGUUGGAAUUUUUCUAAAAUAAAAAAACUCGAGUCUUAGGAAGCUGACUCAUUCACACAAACUAUUACAAAAAUUAUCUAACACUCUUUUAAUUUACAUCUAAUAAAAUAUUUAUAUAUUUGGAAUUUGACCGUAACGCACGCUAAGAUUUAACACUCUUCACACAAGUGUCAUAUUGAUUUAUUUUUCUCUUUUUAAAAGAGUCUAUGCUUAUUAUAUAAGCGUUAGGCCCGAGUCGAUUGACAUUUUUAUCCGCACAAAAAAAGCGGACGCUUCAAUCUUUCCUCCCCUAUUCUACCUCGCCCAUCAUUCUAAUAAAAUUUAACUCUUUUCAUAUUCAAUUUUUUAAAGUAAAUUAUUUAGUAGAAUAAUAUUUAGCUUAGUAAUAUAAUUAUUAUCUUAUAUUUUAAUUAACUUUUAUACUUUAUUUAGAAGUAAUUAAUUUGUAUAUUAGAUCAUUUAUUUCUAAUAAAAAUUUAUUGUGUUUUUAUCAAUAGAUGAUAAUUAUUUAUAUAUUGUCGAAAGUGUUAAGGUUAAUUAUAUAUUGAUUUAUUGUAUUUUCUCUAAUUAUUUUUUUUUCAUACUAUAUACACAAAAAUUAAUUAUAUAUUGAUUUUAAAAUUUAGUUAAAAAUAUAUCUAAAUGAAAAGAUUUGAAUAAUAAAUUUAAAAUUUAAAUAUUUAAAUUAAAAUGUAAAAGCAUAACAACAAGCGACAUUUAGGGUGUAUCUACUUAUAUAAAAUAAUUUUCAGUUUUCUAUUUUAUAAGAAAACUGUAAUUUUCAUUUUUUUUUUUAUAGAAAAUAAGUGUUCUUAGAAAAUAUACUUCUCAGUAAAUUGAGAACACACGCAUAUAUAUAUAUAUAUAGUGCAAACAGAACGAAACGGCCAUAAACGCAGGCCAUCAGAUGGAUGCUCGAAAUGUAUGAAAGACCACGGGAAGUUCUUCGUUCGUUUAAGUUAGGGAAAUGGAAGAAGAAGAAGGCCAUUUAGCAUUUAGCCAUCUUCAUCGGCUUGAUAAUUUACUUUUCAGAUCUCACGAUGGAGAAUAUCUCAGCUACUGAUCCUGGUAAACCCUAAAGCUAAGCUCUUUCCCGGUGUAGCCUGCAAUGUUUGGUUUUUUCCGUUCAAGGUUACAAUUAAAUAAUAUUUUUCCUCUUUUUGUUUCAAAUGCUCAACUGGGUGUUCUUCCUUUUCAAUCAAUAUUCGUAAUCAGAUCCUUUUCAUCUAUCAAAUCUUCUAAUUUGAAUGAUCGCUCAUUUACAGUUUCUUAUCUCGUAAAUUCAUGUGGGUUAACCCUAAAAUCUGCUCAAACUAUCUCUAAGAGGGUAUGUCUUAAAACUCCUGAAGGACCAGAUUCAGUACUUAGGCUUCUCAGAGAACAUGCCUUCACCAAUUCCCAAAUCUCCAGUGUUGUUAAGAUGAAGCCCAUAAUGCUUUUACUUCAUCCUGAAAGGAUUCUUUUGCCCAAACUUGAGUUUCUGUAUUCUAUUGGUGUUUCAAGAGAAGAGCUUUCAAUAAUUGUUUCUAAGAAUCCAGAAUUGUUGUGUAGAAGUAUAGAGCGAUAUCUGUCCCCACAUUAUCAUAUCCUCAAAAGUAUACUCGUUUGUGAUGAAAAAGUGAUUAAGAGUAUGAAACGCUUGUUAAAAGCUUCUAUAGUGCUUUCGGAGAGCGAUUUUUUUGCCAAUUUAUCACUCUUAAGAGGGCUUCAAAUUCCUCAGUCUUCCAUCUCUGUGUUGGUCACCUAUCAUCCCAUGAUUAUGUGCGUAAAAGCUUUGAAUUUUGCUGAAGGUGUUAAGAAAAUUAUUAAAAC
rnacentral:lncRNA from 1 species